rnacentral:rRNA from 1 species
GUCCACGCUGUAAACGAUGGGCACUAGGUGUCCGGGGUAUUGACCCCCUGGGUGCCGCAGCUAACGCAUUAAGUGCCCCGCCUGGGGGAGUACGGUCGCAAGAUUAAAACUCAAAGGAAUUGACGGGGGCCCGCACAAGCGGUGGAGCAUGUGGUUCAAUUCGACGCAACGCGAAGAACCUUACCUGGACUAGACAACAGUGGAUCGUCCUAGAAAUAGGAUUUUCCCUUCGGGGACCGCUGGUUCAGGUGCUGCAUGGCUGUCGU